rnacentral:rRNA from 1 species
UAAAGUGGAUUAGUGGCGGACGGGUGAGUAACACGUGAGUAACCUGCCUUAGACAUUGGGAUAGCCUCGGGAAACCGGGAUUAAUACCAAAUAAAAUCAUAAUGACACAUGUCAUAACGAUCAAAACUCCGGUGGUCUAAGAUGGACUCGCGUCCCAUUAGCUAGUUGGUAGAGUAAAGCCUACCAAGGCGACGAUGGGUAGCCGGCCUGAGAGGGUGAACGGCCACAUUGGAACUGAGAAACGGUCCAA